UCUUGGCCUUCUCACGCUCGAUGGAUCGAGAAGACUUGAGUGACCUGGGACCAGUUGCUUCCUGGCCAGUCGAAAGAUCGAGGACAAAGUGCCCUCGCCAACCAAGGUACAAGUGAUUUGCGUGGCUCCCAAGGCCUGAUCUUUCUUCCUCGCCCUCUUUUGCUUGCUCGCAGAGUGAAGGCAAGUUCGCGGGAUCCAUCUUCAUAAACUGGCAGAUGUUGGCAAAGACUGCCGCCGUCAUGUAAGCAUCAUAGCCGGCCUCGUGCUUCAUCUCUGUCCCAUCGUACCUGCAAAGGCUGGAGCUUCCAAACUCGAUCUGGACUUUGUUUGGCAGCUUUCCCACGUUUGAGAACACCGGGCCUAAGGUUGUGCCGCCUUUCCCAAGCAUUUCUUGAGCCGCCGAGUCCGCUUUCAGCAAGUACUUGGUGUCGAAGAUGCAAGGGAAAUGCUGGUGGAUGGACGAGCAGAAUUCGGAGCAGCUCAAAGGAAGAGUUGCGAAGAAUUUGUUGUAAAUAUGAGCAAUAUCUGGAGAACAGUGUUGUAAGUUUUGGCCAAGAAAUGAUUGAAAGGUUGGUUACCAAGAAAGCAAUUGUGUCCGACCACUGGCUUCUUCGACUCCACUAGAGCAUCAAUAAGUUGACGAAAUCCUAUUGCAUCCAUGAUCUGGUUUUCCAAUCUCGACCUUCUAUCCUUUUCCCAUUGACCC
rnacentral:lncRNA from 1 species